rnacentral:snoRNA from 1 species
CUCUGGAUUUGAAGUGGUUACAGGCUGCCCGUGUCCUGGUCAUUGGUAAUAUGGGCCAAGGAAAAGUUGCAAGACUUUCCCCAUGUUCAGGGGACCCACACUUGUCCCUUCCAUACAGGACAGCCUUCAGUGA